rnacentral:rRNA from 1 species
AUGGGUGUUGUGGACAAGGAUAACCUCAUCGACGGUAAAAACAUAGUGGAGGGAGAUAUCCUCAUUGGUCUUCCUUCAGGUAGGGUUCAUUCAAACGGGCUAUCUCUCCUUAGAAGCCAAAAAGUUGUAACUCAAUCAUGUUGGAUGAAAAAGGUGCUUGAGAUCAUUAGAAAGGGUGGUGUGAAAAGCCUAGCCCAUACCACUGGUGGUGGCUUCACUGAUAACACUUCGAGAGUAUUUCCUACUAGACUCGGUGCGAAAAUCUUCAUUGGAUCGUGGGAAGUGCCACUUGUGUUCAAGUGGCUCCAACAGGUUGGAGAAAUUGAAGAUGCCGAGAUGACACGGACGUUCAACAUGGGCGUCCGGAUGGUCCUUGUAGUGAGUGAGGAGGCAAUUGACAGGAUUAUCAAGGAAUCAAGCCGUGCUUAUCGCAUUGGAGAGGUGAUCCACGGCAAGGGUGUUCACUAUAUCCGAUGCCUUGCGAUAAGCUUUCAACUCAAAUUUGGAGUGAUUUAA